GUGAAGCCCAUGAGCCACUAGAAGCCACAUGUUCUGCCAUGUGGAGAAGAAUGAGAGAGUACAUCCUCAAAUUGAGGUGUGGCAUGAUGAUUUGGCUGCCCAGAGGAGAACCUGUCUUUCCCAUCUAAAGUGGGAGGUCAAGCCAAGUAGAGCCUUUCAAGGGCCUGUGCCUGUGGUAACUGUCUAUGAGCCAGGUAUAUCUGAAGCAUAUUUGACAACAGAAAAAGUUAAUGUAAUUUUCAAAGGAAAAACGCCAACUUUUUUCAAAAAGGCUGGAUCCAGCUCUUCAUGAAUGUCCUCAAUGAGAAGGGGUCGGCCCAAGGAAAGGCUGUCCUCCAAGUGUGUGCGAAAAUAUUUAUGGUUCAGAGAUGUCACCUAAACAGAAAGAACUCAUUGGUCUAUCUGUGUUACAAAGAAUGUGCCCAUUGCUAAGGGAAACCGAGAGAUUUGUUGGACAGGUAAUCAAGAAUUUUAAGGGCAAUAGAAGAAGACUUACUUAAAAAAAUUAAAGUAACAUACAAAAAUUAAUUUCUAAAUUGCAUAUUAAACCUGAUUUGGGGUUAAUGGAGAUAGUGAAUAUAAUGAAAUGUCAGAGAACAAGGAAACAGCAACUGGAGAGCAGAUUUGCAAACCAGAAAAGCAACUCAUGAAUACAAAUUGCCUGGAAAGCAUUUAUUACAACAGAAGCUCUGCAAGAUAUACCGGAAAUUGACAGUGGCAUCGAAUUCCCAGCAAGGAAGUUUUCUAAGGACACCAACAGACACCAGCAGAAGACAGCCUUGCAUUUACAACAAACCAUUGAUCCACAACAAACCAUUGAUCCACACUUUCAAAAUCAUUGAGGUGAAGCAUAGAGAACUGGAGUGGAGACGGCUCUGGCAAAUCCAAACAAUAUCAAAAGCACUCUCAUACUGAAAACCCACAGUGCUGAACCACAGCUGAGAUGUAAAAUAUUUCACAAAAUCUUCUUCACCCUCUAUAGUAUUUCACCUGAGAGUGCAUGAUUUAAGUUGCAAGCACUGUCAUAGAUGAUGGGAUUCAGAGAUGAACACAUGGAAAUGGACUUUAUGUUCUCUAAUGUCACAAAGAAAGAGUGAUUAUGAAGAAGACCCAGAUUCCCACCUAUUAAUCUGAGCUUUGAAUUCUUUACUUUGCUGGGUCCACCGGAUUUUUUCUCCACUCAGCCCAUCGAUGAGAGUGGAGGCGGCCUGCAUCUUUUUCCGGCACGUAUCAGCGUCAUUAAGCAAAUCCUGCAGCCAUAAUGGGAGAAUGUCUCAAGGAAUCUGGAACUUUGGUAGUUGUAGCUAGGCAGGAAGUGACCAAACCUAAAAAAAAACCACUGGACUCUGAAUCUCAAGUGGGCUUCCCU
rnacentral:lncRNA from 1 species